rnacentral:rRNA from 1 species
UACCAGCACCCCGAGUGGUCGGGACGAUUAUUGGGCCUAAAGCAUCCGUAGCCGGUUUUACAAGUCCUCCGUUAAAUCCAGCUGCUUCAACAGAUGGGCCUGGAGGAGUACUACAUAGCUAGGAGGCAGGAGAGGCAAGCGGUACUCAGUGGGUAGGGGUAAAAUCCGUUGAUCCAUUGAAGACCACCAGUGGCGAAGGCGGCUUGCCAGAAUGCGCUCGACGGUGAGGGAUGAAAGCUGGGGGAGCAAACCGG